rnacentral:pre_miRNA from 8 species
UCACCACCUAACCUGGGAAGCGCUUGCUUUGAAACUAUUAAAGUGCUUCCAUGUUUUUGUGGUGA